rnacentral:rRNA from 1 species
AGAGUUUGAUCAUGGCUCAGGAUGAACGCUAGCUACAGGCUUAACACAUGCAAGUCGAGGGGCAGCAUGUUGGUUGCUUGCAACCAACGAUGGCGACCGGCGCACGGGUGAGUAACGCGUAUCCAACCUACCCUUGUCCAUCGGAUAACCCGUCGAAAGGCGGCCUAACACGAUAUGCGGUUCACAGCAGGCGUCUAACGUGAACGAAAUGUAAAGGAGAAGGAUGGGGAUGCGUCUGAUUAGCUUGUUGGCGGGGUAACGGCCCACCAAGGCGACGAUCAGUAGGGGUUCUGAGAGGAAGGUCCCCCACAUUGGAACUGAGACACGGUCCAAACUCCGUACGGGAGGCA